AGAAAGCGUUUCCGCGGACGGGAUUUCACAGCUUGGCCUUUCGUUUCCCACCGACAGUGGUUAGGUGCCUACUUCACGGCCAUCAGGCCGCUCUACCUGACGCGGAAAGGGGAAGCAGCGGAUGACCAGGGCUGCUUCUUCCUGGGGACCACAGGACUUCACGUGGCCAAUCCCAGGUCCGACUUGUGCCGUCUCUGGAGGCACUGUCGGAAGAUCUGCGAGGGAGCGGGCCCGAAUCCGCCGCCCGUUACGGCCGAGGCCACGGGGACGUCUUCCCGGGACAAAAGCUUCCGCUGGCAGGCAGCGACCGACCGAGGCCAAAGUGGCAGCCAUUGUGGCCAAGGAGGAGUGGAAAACGAAUGUCCCCUCCCUCCCGGAUGUGCUCCAGGCGUGGGUCUCCCCUUUAAAGGCAGCCAUUGAGGACGACAAAGGUGUCCUCAAGUCAGUGGUGGAGCAAAGGUGGAAGGGGAUCGAUUUUAUAUUACCAUGCCGUUCUCCAAAGGUGAAGUGAUCUGCGACUGUCACG
rnacentral:lncRNA from 1 species